AUACGGAGGAUCCGAGCGUUAUCCGGAUUUAUUGGGUUUAAAGGGUGCUCAGGCGGGGGAUUAAGUCGGCGGUGAAAUUUUGCGGCUCAACCGUAAAAGUGCCUUCGAAACUGGUUUCCUUGAGUGUGGAUGAGGUAGGCGGAAUUUGUGGUGGAGCGGUGAAAUGCAUAGAUAUCACGAGGAACUCCGAUUGCGGAGGCAGCUUACCAGGCCAUAACUGACGCUCAAGCACGAAGGCGUGGGGAUCAAACAGGAUUAGAUACCCUGGUAGUCCACGCAGUAAACGAUGAUUACUGGCUGUUUGCGAUACAAUGUAAGCGGCUGAGCGAAAGCGUUAAGUAAUCCACCUGGGGAGUACGUUCGCAAGAAUGAAACUCAAAUGAAUUGACGGGG
rnacentral:rRNA from 1 species